rnacentral:RNase_P_RNA from 1 species
AGAGUAGCCCGGGCGACCGCGCCCCGAACCAUCGGGGUGAGGAAAGUCCGAACUCCACAGGGCAGGGCGCUCCGUAAAACGGAGGAGGGGCAACCCUACGGAAAGUGCCACAGAAAUACACAGCCGAUGGCCCUGGUGAAGGGCACAGGCGAAGGUGCAAUGGUGAGGUAAGAGCUCACCGUUCCGGCAGCGAUGUCGGAAGCCAGGCAAACCCCGCCCGGAGCAAGACCAAAUAAGUCCCGCCUUCCCACACGGGUUCUCUCUGCGGAGAGGAUCUGGUGUGGGAAAUAAGGUGGCCCGCUGAAACCUUUCUCCUCAAUGAGAAAGGGGCGGGACGGGUAGGUCGCUGAGAUAAAUGGUCGCCUCCCCCAAUCACUUUGUCCUGCAUCCUUGAGAUGGGACGAGGUGUUGGGGAAGACAGAAUUCGGCUUACAGGGCUGCUCUGGAU